rnacentral:lncRNA from 1 species
AUGAAUUCUUCACUAAGGAGGCUGUAUUUUGAGGAGGUAGCACAUCACGUCUCCUGGCCCUUGAUUAUCCCAAUGAACACACAAGUACUUGCACAGUAUACAUUGUCAAGAGAUGCAGAGAAAAGUGCCAGACCGUUCACACCCUGCCAAAUGGGAUUGAAGAUGCAGCUGUUAAGACAAUGAGUAUGUGCUGUUGCCUGAACCAUCCAUAAAGAGAACCUGUACACCCUUGAUAGAUUUCAUUGGAAAUGUCAUUAAGAUGCCAGAAGGGGUAAGUUUUUAAAGCCAUGUUUAUUGAAGUUGAAUUUACAUUCAGUAAAACUCACUCCAAAAUUUGACAAAGGCCAACAGCACCAUAAUCAAAGCGCAGAGCAGUUCUUCAACACCCACCCCCGACCAAACCCUAUGCAACAAACUCCUCCCUGAUCCUUAGGAAUCCACUGAUCUGUCAAAGGGGUCAAACUUAAUCAUCAAAAUAAUCUAUUAUAGGAAAAACUGUAAGCACAAAAAAACAAGUUUUUAAAAGGAUACUUUGAAACAUACAAUGUUUUGAAUAGUCAAAAGUGUGGGAUUUAGAACUAACCUUUGUAAAUUCAAGCAGCUGACAGUUUUCUUAAGAUAGCUGUAUUGA